UGCCCAGGCUGGUCUCAAACUCCUGGCUUCAAGCAGUCCUCCCACCUCAGAUUAACCACCACAAUGGCCAAGCAUGAGCCAUUGUGCUUGGCCAAAGCCUGUAUUUCUAAAUGAGGUCACAUUCCGAGGUUCUGGGGUUAGGGUUUGGACACCAUUGAACCCAUAACAGUAACAGUUCUUUUUCUGAAACUUUCUCCAAACCUUGGUUUAUCAUGUGAAAGAAGGUUGUAGGAGCAACAGCUAAGGCUUCUGAUUGUCAUCAAACCCUACAUCUUGAGAAGCAAUGGCCCCAGGUGUCUGUGGUUGGGGAUUAACACAGAGCAGUGUGCAGCCAGCUGUAAAAAGCAAGUGAAAGUGGCUAAAAUGUGCAUCAAGUGCUCCCUCAGAGGGGAAGAAUCCAUCCAGACACUCUUUUCACUCAGCAAACACGUAUUGAGCACCCAGAAUGCAUGAACAAACAGUGAAGAAAAGACUCAGUUCUGAAAGUGCUCCCAAGGCAAGGCAGGUGGAGGCAGACCACAAGACCUCUUGGAAGGAUGAGUGCUGGGAGAUUUUUCCAGCGAUUGGUAUUCUGCAGCAGCUGCCUCACAAAGCCUGGAGAGCUCCAGCAAGGAUGGGCCGGAACUCCAGCUGCUG